rnacentral:tRNA from 1 species
GGGGAUUUAGCUCAGUGGUAGAGCGCUUGCCUAGCAAGUGGAAGGCCCUGGGUUCGGUCCCCAGCUCUG